rnacentral:lncRNA from 1 species
GGGACCCUCCUUUCUGGAGAACCUUCUUACGUCUCCUUGUCUUGUCCUGAUGCCUCUAAAGCUUCAACCCUGGGAGCCCAUCUUGAACUCUGGAAUUUUACCAGGAAAGAUUAAAGAGUGCUUUGGGUGACUUCCUGUUACUUUUCACUCUCCAGAUCAUCCUGCGCUGCCCUUUUAGCACUUCCAUAUCUUCUUUGACUUCUGGUGACUGAGGAUGGUGCCUGACUGCUGCUCU